AGGAUCAUUUAAGAAUGAUGGAUGAAGAAAAGAUUGAUCUGGGUUUGCUAACAGUGAUUGCUAACAAGAUUGCUGAACUAAUCUGGACCGAAGGGUGUAGUCCUCCAGCUGUCGGUACUAUAUACAGUCAACUGACAGUCUUCAGAUACCAACCCUUUCCAGGAACUGCCUCUGGUUGAAGGGAACCACCUUGCUCCAAGUCAGAUCUUUAUUUGAGGGGCAGCUGAAGUGAAUGCCUGGCCUAUGAGGUGCUUGAAGAUCAAACACAUUUUCCUGACUCUGGGAGGACUGUUGCAGCCCCGGAGCUUGGUGUGGAGAGGCGAGGCUAUGCGAUUCAUGUUAGCCAAUGCAAAGGCAAAUAACUAGGGCUGACCUUGGUCUGACAAAGCAGAGACGAAUUCCUGGCCUGUGAUAGAAGAAAAGAAAGGCAGUCAGGACAGAGUUCUGGAGUUCACUUGGAUGCUACCAUGACUCGGCCUUACUCUACUCCACGUUGCUGGGCACAUUCAGAGACUGUGUAUGUCUGUGGGUAAGAACAGAGUGGUGCUUGACAAAAAAAAAAUCCACAGAAGUGGAAGAGAAGGCAGGCAUGGUAGCACUUGAGAGACAGAGGCAGGAGGAUCACGAGUUCAGGGCCAGCCUGGCUACAAAGUGACUUCAAGGUCAAUCUGAAUUGUAUGAGACUUUAUCUCAAAAACAAAACAAAACAAAACAAAACAAAAACAAAAACAAAAACAACAAAAACAACAACAACAAAACCCCCCAAAAAACCCAAAACAAAAACAAAAAUGUCCAGCCAAACCACCGUUGUGGUAUUAUUAAGAAAGACAGUGUGCUGAUAGUUGAUUGUUGUCUUAACACAAAGUAGAGACACCUGGGAAGAGGGGAUCUCAAUGGAGGAAUCAUCUCCAUCAGAUCGGGCUGUGGGUAUGUCUGGCACUUUCUUGAUUAAUGAUUGAUGUAGGAGGGCCCAGCCCACUGUGGGUGGCGCCAUCCCUGGGCAGGUCACCCUGAGUUAUAUAAGAAAUUUAGCUGAGUAAGUCAUGGAAAGAAGGCAGUGUCUCUCCAGGGUUCCUGCCUCCAGGUUCCCGCUUGAGUCCCUGCUUGGCUUCUCUUGGUGAUGGGGGACAUGGUCGGCAAUGGAAAUAAACCAAAUAAACCCUCCCUCCCCCGCUUCUUGCUUUGAGUCAUGGUGUUUAUCAUAGUAAUGGAAAGCAAAUUAGAACAGACAGGAAGAAAACUGUAAUGUUAAACUUGUUACAUUUUAAUAGUUUCCCUUCAUGGGGUUAUGAAAAUGCUAUUAGAUAUUUGCAUUGCAAUAGCAGUAUAAAUAAAUCCCCAACAAUUAUUGUAUUAUCCAUUACAUUUUUUUCUAUUAGUUAUUAUAAUUUUUACAUAUUUAACAUUUUUUGUGCGGUCCUUCUCAUUAGCAUCGUUUUCUCUCCUUUUGCUCCCUGGGCAUAAUUUUGAAGAUCACUCUCUAUGCUGGUAAAGACGGCAGGCUGACGCCAGCUCUUGACUUGAUACUAGCUGGAGGCCUUCUUUGAAUGAAAGAAGAUUCAUUAAAAAAAAAAAAAGGAGUUACUAUGCAGAUCUUUGCAACAGGCAAUUAUAGUACCAUAAUGUGUUAUUGUUAAACAUUUCCUGAUUCAUUUAUUUUGUAUUUAUUUAUUUUGUAUUUUUUAAAAUGGGCUGUGUUUCAGAAUUUGUAACUAACUCAGUUAUUUGAAUUUGAAAUAUACUCUGUUCCUUCCUCCCUUUCUUCCAUUAUCAUGAUGGAACCCCGAAAUUUGUGCAUAUUAGGUGAGCCCUCUACCAUCAAACUACAUCCUUAGCCCCUAAGAUACAUUUUCUUCUAAAACAGUAAGUACUACGGCAUACUUCAGUUGUCCUCAAGCCCACAGCUUUCCUUCAUUAACUCAACAAACUGUUCUACCAAACCAACCAACCAACCAACCAACCAAUCAAAAACCCUCUCAAUGUUAUGAAGUUGUGUGCAAGAGUCCCAGACCCUGGGGCUGGAGAGA